UGUGCUUCGCGGUGGUGAAGUUGACAACAAGAUGUGUAGACAGUUUGAUGGGUUUACAAAUUUUCUUGAACCGACAACCGGCAAUAUGGAGGAAUGCAAGAAGCAAUGAACACUGCGGUGUAUAUAAUCAUGAUAAAAAGGAAGUAAAACGUCGUGUACAAGAAUGAA